GUUUGCUUUAAAAAGUUCAAAACUCCUAAUGGAUUAUUGCAUUAUAUGUUAUGUUUUGGAUGGUAUUGCAUGAUUUUACAAUUCCAUGAUUUUUUUCCUUUUUCUUUUCUUCCCCUCCCUUUCCUCCCUCCCUCCCUUCUUCCCUCCUUCCUUCCUUUCCCCCCUCCCUCUCUUCCUUUUACAGGCAAUGGUGAGCCAUUGAAGGUUUCUGAACUAAACCCCUUCUUGGGAGCAGUUGGGGCUGAGGUGAAUCUGGCAACAACAUGGGUUGGACGGGCGGUGAAGGAAGCAGGAACAAGGAGAGUGGGUUGUCGUCCAAGCCAGUGAAAAAAGAAUUGAAUGGAAGAGGAGGAGGGAGUUGCCAACAGUGUGUGGAGCUGUGGAAAGCAGGUUAAUAUUAAUGUCCUGUGUUCAGGAGGGUUCCCGAGGACCUGAGGCUGACAUCCAAAGGGUAGGCAAUGCCCAUGGAGGUGACUGAGUUUUGAGGACCUGGAAUGAGGUGCUGCUCAGGAGACAGCCGAAAAGGGAAGGAUAUUGUGAUCUGCCAUCAGGAGUACCAGCCUUUGACCAACCUUGAGAGCAGCAACAUAAAGGGUGACCAGCUCUUCUGAAUUGUCUGUGACUGAGGGGCUCCAAUGACAUAGGAUUUUCCAUGCUAAAGCUAAGAAGAUCCUUAUAAAUCAGGACAAAUCAGCUACCUAUUAAUGAGCUUCUUGACCUUCUGAGCCUCAGUUUUUUCACUUGUAAGGUGGUGCUGAUGACACCUGGGACCUUUGUAUAAGCACUCUGCAAACUCCACGCUCUUCAUACCUGUUGGGGAUGGGUGAUUAUUACUGGUGGAGUGCCAUGGUGGAGGGAGGGGAAAGGGUGACUCUUCCCCAUCUUGAGAGCUGACCGAUCAAGACCCUGUCUGGAUGAAUACCAUGAUUUAUAUAUGCAGAGUUUAAGGCAACCGACCUCUCACAAUGAAGUUUUAGGGGAGCUGGGAGUGUAACUCAGUGGUAGAGCACUUGCCUAGCACGAGUGAGGUCCUGAGUUUGAUCCCCAGAACUGUCUCCUCCAAAAAAGGAAAUAUCUAUGGACCCUCUGACCAGGUAUGUGCUAGGCAUUGGAAUAAAACUGUGAAUAUCUGAGAUAUGCUCCUGUUCCUGAGACCAAAGCCUACUAGGGAAGGCAAGGAUCCAAAAGGAAGGGGGUGGGAAGGAUCAGGAAAUGUUUCUGAGGUAAGCAGAACCCUGGGGAGUGGGGUCUGGAUGCCAAGGGUGUUGUGUUGUGGGGAAAUGAGGCAUAAGGAAAGGAAGCCAGAGGCCCAGGCCCUGGUAUAUGGAAGGACAGAAUGGUUUAGUGUGGCUGGGCCAUGCAGGAGUGGAGUGAGAGAGGGGGGCCUGGGAGGUCUAUGUUCCCCCUGUGUGGGCCUUGAAUGCUCCCUCAUUUUUGGACUGAAUUCCUAGGACAUCAAGGGGCUGUGGUAGGGCUGGAGCAGAGCAAGGCACUUUCACAACUGUCCACUCAGCAGUUCCCAUGCAUAUCAUUAAACGAUAACACAAAUGAUUAGGGGCUGUCCUAAAAUGGCAUCCUGUGAGACCCAGGUCCUCUGACCUGACGGUGUGCCUCUGUCUGCUGAGCUCUGAAGGCCCUUGAACUAGCCCAUCCCCCGAGUGCCCUGCAACUCCCAAUCUGGUGCACCCAUCUAUACAUUCCCCAGGCAGGGGUCUGGCUGCCUAGCACAGGCUGUGAUGCCUCCUCCCAAGCACACUACUGUUACCUCAAUGUGUCUGUGUGGGCUGGAUGGCUGUGUGGCAAUGCACUCAGGGUGUGCUGCGGACUCGUCCAGCCCAGGCAGCUGAUUAAUCAUGAACAGUUACACCAACCUUCCCAGGAACAAAGAGGUAGGUAUGCACUCGUGUGUGUGUGUGCAUGCACACACACUACUGUGCACAUGCAUUUAGACUCGAUGAUAUUUAUGCCCACAUUUUCACUGAAACUCAGGCAAGCUCACAAAGACACUCCCUGCUACCUGGAUGAGAUGCAUAAACAUGACAUUAUAUUCAUCCCAGACAUGCUGCUCUAGCACUGACACACAUAAUGUUGUAAAUGCUGUCUACACAGUCUCAGAUAGAUGCCUGCACACCUGUGCUGCCCCAUACCACCUCUCACACUCUACAGAUAUGUCAUGAGGAUUAGAAAGGAGCAUCCAGAUUAAGCAUUUAACCCAAUCCCUGGCACAUAGGACUUUUGUAUUAUAGUUUAAUGAUAUUAUAUAUGAUUAUAUUAAGAUACUUCAAUGUGUGCACAUGUACUGUUACCCUCAUACUGAUACACAUAUACACUGCCACAUAUGUGCUUUUAAAAGCAGGUGCAAGCACAAGAACUUCACCCUUUAAUAAAACUGAUGCAUGC
rnacentral:lncRNA from 1 species